GUCUGUGAUGCCCUUAGAUGUUCUGGGCUGCACGCGCGCUACACUGACACGAUCAACAAGUAUUUCCUUGCCCGGUAGGGUUAGGGUAAUCUUUUGAAAUCGUGUCGUGCUAGGGAUAGACGAUUGCAAUUAUUCGUCUUCAACGAGGAAUUCCUAGUAAAUGCAAGUCAUCAGCUUGCGUUGAUUACGUCCCUGCCCUUUGUACACACCGCCCGUCGCUCCUACCGAUUGAGUGAUCCGGUGAGCUGUCCGGACUGCGAUUAGUUCAGUUUCUGUUCUCUUCGCGGGAAGUUCUGCAAACCUUAUCACUUAGAGGAAGGAGAAGUCGUAACAAGGUUUCCGUAGGUGAACCUGCGGAAGGAUCAUUC
rfam:Perkinsus marinus ATCC 50983 gcontig_1104296640436, whole genome shotgun sequence.